rnacentral:rRNA from 1 species
UACGAAGGGAGCUAGCGUUGUUCGGAAUCACUGGGCGUAAAGCGUGCGCAGGCGGCCUGACAAGUCAGGGGUGAAAUGCCAAGGCUCAACCUUGGAACUGCCUUUGAAACUGUCAGGCUCGAGACUCGGAGGGGUUAGCGGAAUUCCUAAUGUAGCGGUGAAAUGCGUAGAUAUUAGGAGGAACACCAAUGGCGAAGGCAGCUAACUGGACGAGUACUGACGCUCAUGCACGAAAGCGUGGGGAUCAAACAGG